rnacentral:rRNA from 1 species
GCCAGACUCCUACGGGAGGCAGCAGUGGGGAAUAUUGCACAAUGGGGGAAACCCUGAUGCAGCAACGCCGCGUGAGUGAAGAAGUAUUUCGGUAUGUAAAGCUCUAUCAGCAGGGAAGAAGAUGACGGUACCUGAUUAAGAAGCCCCGGCUAACUACGUGCCAGCAGCCGCGGUAAUACGUAGGGGGCAAGCGUUAUCCGGAUUUACUGGGUGUAAAGGGAGCGCAGACGGCAGUGCAAGUCUGGAGUGAAAGCCCGGGGCCCAACCCCGGAACUGCUCUGGAAACUAUUUGACUGGAGUGCAGGAGAGGUAAGCGGAAUUCCUAGUGUAGCGGUGAAAUGCGUAGAUAUUAGGAGGAACACCAGUGGCGAAGGCGGCUUACUGGACUGUAACUGACGUUGAGGCUCGAAAGCGUGGGGAGCAAACAGGAUUAGAUACCCGAGUAA